GACGAACGCUGGCGGCGUGCUUAACACAUGCAAGUCGAACGGAAAGGCCCUGCUUUUGUGGGGUGCUCGAGUGGCGAACGGGUGAGUAACACGUGAGUAACCUGCCCUUGACUUUGGGAUAACUUCAGGAAACUGGGGCUAAUACCGGAUAGGAGCUCCUGCUGCAUGGUGGGGGUUGGAAAGUUUCGGCGGUUGGGGAUGGACUCGCGGCUUAUCAGCUUGUUGGUGGGGUAGUGGCUUACCAAGGCUUUGACGGGUAGCCGGCCUGAGAGGGUGACCGGCCCCAUUGGGCCUGGGUACCGACCCGGGCCCCUCGGGGGGGGAGCGGUGGGGACUUUUGCCAACGGGGCGGAGGCCUGGUGCACCACCCCCGGGUGCGGGAGGACGGCCUUCGGGUUGUAACCCGCUUUCCCCUGGACCGAGGCGUGGGUGCCGGUAAUGGGUAAAAAGGCCCCGCCUACCUCCGU
rnacentral:rRNA from 1 species